CUGGUCGGACAUCAGGAGGUUAGUGCAAUGGCAUAAGCCAGCUUGACUGCGAGCGUGACGGCGCGAGCAGGUGCGAAAGCAGGUCAUAGUGAUCCGGUGGUUCUGAAUGGAAGGGCCAUCGCUCAACGGAUAAAAGGUACUCCGGGGAUAACAGGCUGAUACCGCCCAAGAGUUCAUAUCGACGGCGGUGUUUGGCACCUCGAUGUCGGCUCAUCACAUCCUGGGGCUGAAGUAGGUCCCAAGGGUAUGGCUGUUCGCCAUUUAAAGUGGUACGCGAGCUGGGUUUAGAACGUCGUGAGACAGUUCGGUCCCUAUCUGCCGUGGGCGCUGGAGAACUGAGGGGGGCUGCUCCUAGUACGAGAGGACCGGAGUGGACGCAUCACUGGUGUUCGGGUUGUCAUGCCAAUGGCACUGCCCGGUAGCUAAAUGCGGAAGAGAUAAGUGCUGAAAGCAUCUAAGCACGAAACUUGCCCCGAGAUGAGUUCUCCCUGAGACUUUAGGUCUCCUGAAGGAACGUUGAAGACGACGACGUUGAUAGGCCGGGUGUGUAAGCGCAGCGAUGCGUUGAGCUAACCGGUACUAAUGAACCGUGAGGCUUAACCUUACAACGCCGAA
rnacentral:rRNA from 1 species